AUAAACGCUGGCGGCGUGCCUUAUGCAUGCAAGUCGUACGAGAUCAGAACUUCGGUUCGAAGUCUAGUGGCGGACGGGUGAGUAACACGUACGUGACCUGUCCAGGAGUGGGGAAUAACCAGCCGACAGGUUGGCUAAUACCGCAUGUGGUCACCCCUUGGAAGGGGAUGACGAAAGCCGAAAGGCGCUUCUGGAGGGGCGUGCGGCCGAUUAGCUAGUUGGUGUGGUAACGGCGCACCAAGGCGAUGAUCGGUAGCUGGUCUGAGAGGAUGGUCAGCCACACUGGGACUGAGACACGGCCCAGACUCCUACGGGAGGCAGCAGCAGGGAAUUUUGGGCAAUGGGCGAAAGCCUGACCCAGCAACGCCGCGUGGGGGAUGAAGGCUCUCGGGUCGUAAACCCCUUUUGCCGGGGAAGAUAAUGACGGUACCCGGCGAAUAAGCCACGGCUAACUACGU
rnacentral:rRNA from 1 species